GCUAAGAUGGCGGAGCGGUCAAACGCACCGGUCUGUAAAACCGGCGGUCGAAAGGCCUACGUUGGUUCGAAUCCAACUCUUAGCA
rnacentral:tRNA from 1 species